rnacentral:tRNA from 1 species
GGGGCCUUAGCUCAGGUGGUAGAGCGCUGCCUUUGCAAGGCAGAUGUCAGGAGUUCGAAUCUCCUAGGCUCCA